rnacentral:rRNA from 1 species
UACGUAGGGACCAAGCGUUGUUCGGAUUUACUGGGCGUAAAGGGCGCGUAGGCGGCAUGACAAGUCACUUGUGAAAUCUCCGGGCUUAACUCGGAACGGCCAAGUGAAACUGUCAAGCUAGAGUGCAGAAGGGGCAAUCGGAAUUCUUGGUGUAGCGGUGAGAUGCGUAGAUAUCAAGAGGAACACCUGAGGUGAAGACGGGUUGCUGGGCUGACACUGACGCUGAGGCGCGAAAGCCAGGGGAGCAAACGGG